AUUGAACGCUGGCGGCAGGCCUAACACAUGCAAGUCGAGCGGAUGAAGGGAGCUUGCUCCUGGAUUCAGCGGCGGACGGGUGAGUAAUGCCUAGGAAUCUGCCUGGUAGUGGGGGAUAACGUCCGGAAACGGGCGCUAAUACCGCAUACGUCCUGAGGGAGAAAGUGGGGGAUCUUCGGACCUCACGCUAUCAGAUGAGCCUAGGUCGGAUUAGCUAGUUGGUGGGGUAAAGGCCUACCAAGGCGACGAUCCGUAACUGGCCUGAGAGGAUGAUCAGUCACACUGGAACUGAGACACGGUCCAGACUCCUACGGGAGGCAGCAGUGGGGAAUAUUGGACAAUGGGCGAAAGCCUGACCCAGCCAUGCCGCGUGUGUGAAGAAGGUCUUCGGAUUGUAAAGCACUUUAAGUUGGGAGGAAGGGCAGUAAGUUAAUACCUUGCUGUUUUGACGUUACCAACAGAAUAAGCACCGGCUAACUUCGUG
rnacentral:rRNA from 1 species